CGGGUGAGUAAUGCGUGACCAACCUGCCCCAUGCUCCAGAAUAGCUCUUGGAAACGGGUGGUAAUGCUGGAUGCUCCAACUUGACGCAUGUCUUGUUGGGAAAGUGUUUAGUGGCAUGGGAUGGGGUCGCGUCCUAUCAGCUUGUAGGCGGGGUAAUGGCCCACAUAGGCUUCGACGGGUAGCCGGCCUGAGAGGGCGGACGGCCACAUUGGGACUGAGAUACGGCCCAGACUCCUACGGGAGGCAGCAGUG
rnacentral:rRNA from 1 species